ensembl:lncRNA
CGAUGGUAGCUGAGACGCAGCGGAGCGGAGGUGGAGUGCCCGGAUUAAAACAGGACAUAUUAGCAGCAUUUAACCUUCAGUUACUCUUUAUGUAGUUAGAUAGGAGUCAUGUUUCUUUUUAGCUGAAAAACCUUACACCAGAGAGAGAGACAGCCAGGUUCAUAAUGGAUAUAAGGAAGUUUUUUUAAAAAAACAGGAGCCACAUUCAGUCCAAAGAGGGAGAGAGGAAAGAGGGGAACAUGAGGAGAAAGUACAAGGUCAGGAAGAACCAGGUAAGAAAACAGACAGGGAAUAGUGACAGGCAAAACAGAAACUGUUAAACUGACAAAGAGAAAAAACCUGAUUUUACUCAGACAGUCUGGAAGUUUUUUCCUCCCUAUAUUAAAGCUGCUAUACAGAAUCUGCAAAACUAACUGGGUUGAAACAUUUUUGACCCUCUUUAACAACAUUCCAACAUAACAUUAUC